AUGAGCAAAAAGGAUGGAGUCCUCAUCCGUCUGCAGUUAAUGGGAAUUUUGUCCGUAAACCAGGUUUUUAAUCUAAAUACCCAUCCAACUGCCCAGUUACUGUGGAGGCCACGUCCUGGAUCUGGUGGCGGCAUGAGUCAGGAUGGACUCGGGAGCCUCAGCUUGCCAGCGGAUGGAUUGCUAUUUUGCUACCUAUGGGGCAGUUUUUAAAGAGAGGAGCUGUAUCCCCAGCGGAGAUCAUAAGGCACUCAAACUUUGCCUACGGGGAAAAUCCUCAACUUCAAUGCACACGACCCAUUUUCUUGACAUUGAGGUCAGUUUUCUGAUUUCAUCAUGCCUUUAACAUGACUGAAGAAUGAAAGGUGAUUAGAAAAAAGGUAUCUCGCCAUUCUGUAAGUUCCUUUGUUAUUCUACAGGUACUAUCUGCAUCUCUUCUAAACUCCUUUACAUUGCGUUUAAAAUCAUCUUUGAAAGUAAAUGUUCAGAUAAUGUCUUUAUUAGGAUUUUAAACUUGAUGCAUGCGUGUGUGUGUGUGUGUGUGUGUGUACAUGCAUGCAG
rnacentral:lncRNA from 1 species